rnacentral:rRNA from 1 species
UGGGGAAUUCUGGACAAUGGGGGAAACCCUGAUCCAGCCAUCCCGCGUGUGCGAUGAAGGCCUUCGGGUUGUAAAGCACUUUUGGCAGGAAAGAAACGUCAUGGGUUAAUACCCCGUGAAACUGACGGUACCUGCAGAAUAAGCACCGGCUAACUACGUGCCAGCAGCCGCGGUAAUACGUAGGGUGCAAGCGUUAAUCGGAAUUACUGGGCGUAAAGCGUGCGCAGGCGGUUCGGAAAGAAAGAUGUGAAAUCCCAGAGCUCAACUUUGGAACUGCAUUUUUAACUACCGGGCUAGAGUGUGUCAGAGGGAGGUGGAAUUCCGCGUGUAGCAGUGAAAUGCGUAGAUAUGCGGAGGAACACCGAUGGCGAAGGCAGCCUCCUGGGAUAACACUGACGCUCAUGCACGAAAGCGUGGGGAGCAAACAGG